GGAUUAUUUUCACAGUGGCUAUUUGCAACCAUGGCACACGGUCCUUCCUCAGGUUGCUUGAUCUCUCCUUCAGUCAAAGAGCGCUGGACUGAGGUCUGGAAACCCGCUGAGAGGCCACAAUUCUUCACGGUGGUAAUCUGGAGACCACACUUUGAGAAGCACUGUUCUGGAAAGAUCAUGAGCAGAGGAAGCGAGACAGCUGGCUGUGCUUAGCCCUUGCUCCUCUCCUGGCCAAUUUAGGAGAAGGAAAGAUGGUGUCCAAAUCACUGAUGGUGAGAAAGUCAAACAGAAGGCUGCCAUUUUUAAAAAUGAAGAAAGGUUAAAC
ensembl:lncRNA